rnacentral:rRNA from 1 species
AGUGAACGCUGGCGGUAGGCCUAACACAUGCAAGUCGAACGGCAGCACAGGAGAGCUUGCUCUCUGGGUGGCGAGUGGCGGACGGGUGAGGAAUACAUAGGAAUCUACUUUUUCGUGGGGGAUAACGUAGGGAAACUUACGCUAAUACCGCAUACGCCCUAUGGGUGAAAGCAGGGGAUCUUCGGACCUUGCGCGAUUGAAUGAGCCGAUGUCGGAUUAGCUAGUUGGCGGGGUAAAGGCCCACCAAGGCGACGAUCCGUAGCUGGUCUGAGAGGAUGAUCAGCCACACUGGAACUGAGACACGGUCCAGACACCUACGGGAGGCAGCAGUGGGGAAUAUUGGACAAUGGGCGCAAGCCUGAUCCAGCCAUACCGCGUGGGUGAAGAAGGCCUUCGGGUUGUAAAGCCCUUUUGUUGGGAAAGAAAUCCAGCUGGUUAAUACCCGGUUGGGAUGACGGUACCCAAAGAAUAAGCACCGGCUAACUUCGUGCCAGCCGCCGCCGUAA